UUGUUAUUAGUAUAAAAAGUAUUUUUAAUUUCCAAUUAAAAGGUUUCAAAUCAAAAUAACAAA
rnacentral:tRNA from 1 species